UCUAAUAUGGCAGAUUAGUGCAAUGGAUUUAAACCCCAAACAUAAAUAUAAAAAUUUUUUUAGAA
rnacentral:tRNA from 1 species